AGGCUGGGUAACAUAAAGGUAAUGUAUUGGAUUGCAAAUCCUGGAAUGAUGGUUCAAGUCCGUCCUCAGCC
rnacentral:tRNA from 1 species